ACCUAGAUGAUCCUGCUAGUAG
rnacentral:rRNA from 1 species